UGUCAGAAAUUUAGGCCGAGAUUAGUGUUGAGCGGCAUGUCCCAUAUUCGAAUUCGCGAAAUUUCGCGAAUAUUCGAAAGAAUAUUCGUAAAAUAUUCGUGAAUAUUCAAAUUCGUUAUUAUUUCGCAUAUGCGAUAAUUCGAUAAU